rnacentral:rRNA from 1 species
CGGAGCUUGCUCCACCGAAAGAAAAAGAGUGGCGAACGGGUGAGUAACACGUGGGUAACCUGCCCAUCAGAAGGGGAUAACACUUGGAAACAGGUGCUAAUACCGUAUAACACUAUUUUCCGCAUGGAAGAAAGUUGAAAGGCGCUUUUGCGUCACUGAUGGAUGGACCCGCGGUGCAUUAGCUAGUUGGUGAGGUAACGGCUCACCAAGGCAACGAUGCAUAGCCGACCUGAGAGGGUGAUCGGCCACACUGGGACUGAGACACGGCCCAGACUCCUACGGGAGGCAGCAGUAGGGAAUCUUCGGCAAUGGACGAAAGUCUGACCGAGCAACGCCGCGUGAGUGAAGAAGGUUUUCGGAUCGUAAAACUCUGUUGUUAGAGAAGAACAAGGAUGAGAGUAAAAUGUUCAUCCCUUGACGGUAUCUAACCAGAAAGCCACGGCUAACUACGUGCCAGCAGCCGCGGUAAUACGUAGGUGGCAAGCGUUGUCCGGAUUUAUUGGGCGUAAAGCGAGCGCAGGCGGUUUCUUAAGUCUGAUGUGAAAGCCCCCGGCUCAACCGGGGAGGGUCAUUGGAAACUGGGAGACUUGAGUGCAGAAGAGGAGAGUGGAAUUCCAUGUGUAGCGGUGAAAUGCGUAGAUAUAUGGAGGAACACCAGUGGCGAAGGCGGCUCUCUGGUCUGUAACUGACGCUGAGGCUCGAAAGCGUGGGGAGCGAACAGGAUUAGAUACCCUGGUAGUCCACGCCGUAAACGAUGAGUGCUAAGUGUUGGAGGGUUUCCGCCCUUCAGUGCUGCAGCAAACGCAUUAAGCACUCCGCCUGGGGAGUACGACCGCAAGGUUGAAACUCAAAGGAAUUGACGGGGGCCCGCACAAGCGGUGGAGCAUGUGGUUUAAUUCGAAGCAACGCGAAGAACCUUACCAGGUCUUGACAUCCUUUGACCACUCUAGAGAUAGAGCUUCCCCUUCGGGGGCAAAGUGACAGGUGGUGCAUGGUUGUCGUCAGCUCGUGUCGUGAGAUGUUGGGUUAAGUCCCGCAACGAGCGCAACCCUUAUUGGUAGUUGCCAUCAUUUAGUUGGGCACUCUAGCGAGACUGC